AGCCCGAUCGUCUAGUGGUCAAGGAUAGGGGCCUCUGGAGCCUCUGACCUAGGUUCGAAUCCUAGUCGGGCUA
rnacentral:tRNA from 1 species